GAUGACCUUUCGCCCCUCCUUUAAUCUAAUCAUGGAAUUGAAAAUUGAAAGUACCUUCAAAUGGAACUCAUAAGGUUUCACGAAUGAGAUACCGUCCAAGGAGGGAUAUAACUAGAUCAAGCAGGUGGAAUAUCCUUGAUGAAAAAUAAUGGCCUAACUCCACGUGUGGUUCCAUGAAUGAGAUUUCAUCCAAGGAUGAAGAGAACUGGAUCAAGCAGGUGGAAUAUCCUUGAUGACAAAUAGGGGCAUGAUUUCAUGUGUGGUACGUAUUCCUUUUUCAACAAAUCAGCAGUGUGGGAUUGAGACACACAUUGGAGGAUAUCCGUCUUCCUUUUAGUUUUAUUCUCAUCAAAUCCAUCAAUCAGCUGGUUGUUUAUGACGGUUUUGGUGAUUCGUCGGUUUAAUUUUUGAAAGUGUUCAAUUUGGC